rnacentral:rRNA from 1 species
GACGAACGCUGGCGGCGUGCUUAACACAUGCAAGUCGAACGGAAAGGCCCUGCUUUUGUGGGGUGCUCGAGUGGCGAACGGGUGAGUAACACGUGAGUAACCUGCCCUUGACUUUGGGAUAACUUCAGGAAACUGGGGCUAAUACCGGAUAGGAGCUCCUGCUGCAUGGUGGGGGUUGGAAAGUUUCGGCGGUUGGGGAUGGACUCGCGGCUUAUCAGCUUGUUGGUGGGGUAGUGGCUUACCAAGGCUUUGACGGGUAGCCGGCCUGAGAGGGUGACCGGCCACAUUGGGACUGAGAUACGGCCCAGACUCCUACGGGAGGCAGCAGUGGGGAAUAUUGCACAAUGGGCGGAAGCCUGAUGCAGCAACGCCGCGUGCGGGAUGACGGCCUUCGGGUUGUAAACCGCUUUCGCCUGUGACGAAGCGUGAGUGACGGUAAUGGGUAAAGAAGCACCGGCUAACUACGUGCCAGCAGCCGCGGUGAUACGUAGGGUGCGAGCGUUGUCCGGAUUUAUUGGGCGUAAAGGGCUCGUAGGUGGUUGAUCGCGUCGGAAGUGUAAUCUUGGGGCUUAACCCUGAGCGUGCUUUCGAUACGGGUUGACUUGAGGAAGGUAGGGGAGAAUGGAAUUCCUGGUGGAGCGGUGGAAUGCGCAGAUAUCAGGAGGAACACCAGUGGCGAAGGCGGUUCUCUGGGCCUUUCCUGACGCUGAGGAGCGAAAGCGUGGGGAGCGAACAGGCUUAGAUACCCUGGUAGUCCACGCUGUAAACGGUGGGUACUAGGUGUGGGGUCCAUUCCACGGGUUCCGUGCCGUAGCUAACGCUUUAAGUACCCCGCCUGGGGAGUACGGCCGCAAGGCUAAAACUCAAAGGAAUUGAUGGGGCCCCGCACAAGCGGCGGAGCAUGCGGAUUAAUUCGAUGCAACGCGUAGAACCUUACCUGGGUUUGACAUGGAUCGGGAGUGCUCAGAGAUGGGUGUGCCUCUUUUGGGGUCGGUUCACAGGUGGUGCAUGGCUGUCGUCAGCUCGUGUCGUGAGAUGUUGGGUUAAGUCCCGCAACGAGCGCAACCCUUGUUCACUGUUGCCAGCACGUUAUGGUGGGGACUCAGUGGAGACCGCCGGGGUCAACUCGGAGGAAGGUGGGGAUGACGUCAAGUCAUCAUGCCCCUUAUGUCCAGGGCUUCACGCAUGCUACAAUGGCUGGUACAGAGAGUGGCGAGCCUGUGAGGGUGAGCGAAUCUCGGAAAGCCGGUCUCAGUUCGGAUUGGGGUCUGCAACUCGACCUCAUGAAGUCGGAGUCGCUAGUAAUCGCAGAUCAGCAACGCUGCGGUGAAUACGUUCCCGGG